rnacentral:rRNA from 1 species
UAGAUACCCUGGUAGUCCACGCCGUAAACGAUGGAUGCUAGCCGUCGGAUAGCUUGCUAUUCGGUGGCGCAGCUAACGCAUUAAGCAUCCCGCCUGGGGAGUACGGCCGCAAGGUUAAAACUCAAAGGAAUUGACGGGGGCCCGCACAAGCGGUGGAGCAUGUGGUUUAAUUCGACGCAACGCGAAGAACCUUACCAGCUCUUGACAUUCACUGAUUGCCUGGAGAGAUCCGGGAGUUCCAGCAAUGGAC